UACGUAGGGGGCAAGCGUUGUCCGGAUUUAUUGGGCGUAAAGAGCGUGUAGGCGGCCAUACAGGUCAGCUGUGAAAACUCGAGGCUCAACCUCGAGACGUCGGUUGAAACCGUAUGGCUAGAGUCCGGAAGAGGAGAGUGGAAUUCCCGGUGUAGCGGUGAAAUGCGUAGAGAUCGGGAGGAACACCAGUGGCGAAGGCGGCCCUCUGGGCCGGGCCUGACGCUGAGACGCGAGGGCGUGGGGAGCGAACGGG
rnacentral:rRNA from 1 species